CAAAAAAUGAUAAAAUGACAUCAACGUUUCGGCUCACAUCUGGAGCCUUCUACAGGAUGUGAGCCGAAACGUUGAUGUCAUUUUAUCAUUUUUU